UACGUAGGGACCAAGCGUUGUUCGGAUUUACUGGGCGUAAAGGGCGCGUAGGCGGCAAUUCAAGUCAUCUGUGAAAUCUCCGGGCUUAACUCGGAACGGUCAGAUGAUACUGCUUUGCUAGAGUGCAGAAGGGGCAAUCGGAAUUCUCGGUGUAGCGGUGAAAUGCGUAGAUAUCGAGAGGAACACCAGAGGUGAAGACGGGUUGCUGGGCUGACACUGACGCUGAGGCGCGAAAGCCAGGGAAGCAAACGGG
rnacentral:rRNA from 1 species